rnacentral:tRNA from 1 species
UGUCCCGUAGUUUAACUGGAAAAACGCCAAGCUUAUACCUUGAGAAAGCGCCAGAUUAGCGCAAGUUGUGAGUUCGAAUCUCGCCGGGACAA